rnacentral:lncRNA from 1 species
UAUAUAUAUAUAUAUAUAUAUAUAUAUAUAUAUAUAUAUAUAUAUAUAUAUAUAUAUAUAUAUAUAUAUAUAUAUAUAAUACAAACAAAACAAAUUAAAUAAAAGAAAUUUACAAAAAAUAAAUAAAGAAUAUAUAAAUAUUAUUUAAUUAAAACUGAAAAAAUUAAGUUUUAUUAUGGAGAGAAACGAAUUAAAAAAAUUUUAAAUUGAAAAAAAAAUAUUUAUAACAUGAACAAAACAAAUUAAAAAAGAAAAAAAUGUGAAAAAAAAAACAAAAAAAAAAUAACCUCCAUCAAUGAUGGAGGUUUUGGAGGGGCCUCCAUCAUGGAUGGAGGUUUUUGGGAA